CCCGGAAGUCCUUCACGAAAUUCCUCCUCCGGACUCCCGGUACUUUUCAGCGGCCGCCUUCCUCUCAUCCCAUCCCACACGUCCUCCAUCCGUUCAGAAUCCGAUGUCGGUCCCCGGCCCGUCUUUACGCCACCGCGGGAAGAGGAAAACUCCUCGAACCCGCUGUACCAGCGCCAAGCUGCCUGUCCCGGGGCUGCUUCCCCGACGCCCAGGGCGCGGGUUGAGUCGGAACCCGGACGCCAGCUAGAAUUCCCGAAUCCGAGGGGACCUCCGCCUCGGCCUCGCUGGGCUCUGACCACGCCCCUUCCUAAGCCCCGCCCAGGGCUUGCGGGGAGGUUUCCGUGGCGACAGUAAACAACACUCAAGAGCUGCUGGAGCCACACCGCAGCCCUGCUCCCCCAACCCACGCUCCUGCAAAUAAGGUGAUCGAGAAUGACAGCGAAGUUGUUAUGAACUGAAACCGGGACACAUGGGGGCCCAGGUGGGGGCCAGGCCUGGGAGGGCCAGCCUGGGGGUCCAGGACACGUGGGCUGUGGUGCGAGGGUCUGCAACCCCCGGAAGAGGCAGCAGCAACUGGAGAACCAGGGAUUGAGAUCUAAGGGAGCAGACGUGCAGGUGGAGCCGGAUGUUGCGUGGGCCCAGGCAGCAGAGGUGGGGUAAGACACCGGGAGCAAGAGGGACUCGUUCAAGCAAGACCUUGUAGUGUUUUCCUAGGAAGGAGCAGGCAACCUGCCCGGGAGGGGGCUCUCCCAGGCUAGGAGUAUGAGCGGCGGACAAAAAAAAAUCCAUAGGCAUGGAAAGAAGCGGGAAGAUAUUACCCAUUAUCAAGGGGAAAAUCUAUCAGGAGAAGCAGAUCGCUAAGUGGCAGAGAUGAGGUAAUUAAUAGACAAAGACACAGAAACAGUUAUAAAUAUCCUCUGUGUACUCAAGAAUGCAGAGGAUCGGGAGUGAAAAAGAAGAUACUUUAAAAAGAAAGACUAGAUGGGAUUUACAGCAGAGUGGAUAUUAGAGAGUAAAGAUCAGAGAAGGCAAAUACAGAGACGGGAGAAAAGAACAUCAAGGACUUGUCGGACAAUAGCAAAUGGUCCAGCGUUCAUGUCAUUGAAGUCCCAGAAUGAGAAGAGGCAGGAAAAACUUCAAAGAAUAAUGUCCUGAAAUAUUCUGAAUUUGACAGAAACCAACAGAUCGAGGUUCAGUGAACCUGAAGCACAAGGAAACAUAAAGAAAACCACAUCAAGGCACGUCCGAUUAAUAAUUGCUUUAAAUGUAAAUGGCCUAAAGACUGCAAACAAAAGGCAGGUAUUAUCAGACUGGGUAAAAAAGCAAGACCCAAAAUAUGCCCUCUAUAAGAACCACGCUUUAAAUAUAAAAACACGGCUGGUUAAAAGUGUGAGAAUGAAA